rnacentral:rRNA from 1 species
UACGGAGGGAGCUAGCGUUGUUCGGAAUUACUGGGCGUAAAGCGCACGCAGGCGGCUUUGUAAGUUAGAGGUGAAAGCCCGGGGCUCAACCCCGGAAUUGCCUUUAAGACUGCAUCGCUUGAAUCCGGGAGAGGUGAGUGGAAUUCCGAGUGUAGAGGUGAAAUUCGUAGAUAUUCGGAAGAACACCAGUGGCGAAGGCGGCUCACUGGACCGGUAUUGACGCUGAGGUGCGAAAGCGUGGGGAGCAAACAGG